GUCCAGCACUCCUUCCACUUUUCCACCUAGUUGCCUCUAGCAGUAUAAAGUGUUACGAUAAAUAUUUAGAUUCUAGGGGGCCUUUUGUCUUUGAUUUCCUGGGAAUGUAUGCUUCAGAGUAAGAUAUUUUAAUCUUUUUUUUUUUAGUAUGCUUCCAAAUUAUUUUCCCAAAUGGAAAAUGUUGAAUGUAAAACAGCAGCAUAUUACUGCGCUUAUCUUUACAUAGCCUCUCCAAAAUCUGCCUAUUCUCACCUUUCGUGAUCUUUGCCUGUUUUUUUUAGCUGUGAGGUGAAACCCCAGCAUUUUUUUAAUUUGAAUUUUAUUAGCGAUUUGAAGUAAUGUUUAUCAUGGUUGUUGAUGGUUUGCAAUUUUUCUUUUGAGACCAGUAAAUUCAUUCCUUUGAUGACUUUCCAUUAGGAAAUGGUGGUUUGUCUUAUAUAUUCAUGUAAUUUUUUUAAUCUUAGAAUCAUUUGUUGUGAGUGUAAUGGAAGAGCAGCCAAAGACAGCAGUGUUUAUGAGCUGGCAUAGUAUGAUCUGCUGAUGCAUUUCCCAUGUAAUCUGGAGUGUUUACAGACAUUUUGCAAUUGGCAUGGGUCCUCUAACAACGUGAUGAGUGAAGAAGAUUCUUUUUAAUUGGCUGUGGAACUAGACCUGGAGUAUACUCAAAAGACAUCCAGAAGGAAACUCUUGAUCAGGCUGUUUCCUUCCUGGAUUGUGUGUGGGGAGGACCAGUUACUGUGGGCCUCUCAGCCCCUGUCCCCAUCUGGCUAUGAACUAAAGCUAAGAGUACAUUGCCUCACUAUUGCUUCCAUCAAUUUGUGUCUAUUCUUGCCUGCUUUUAGGUGAAAGAGAAUGGAGAUGGCUAGGCCUCGUGAGUUUUAAAAGUUCAGAAGAUCCAGCUUACAGGAAGUCUAGAAGAUGGUGUCCAUGCUGGGAUUUGCUUAAAAGCAGCAGAGAUGUCAACACAUCCAUCCAUUAUCAGUGAUGGAUUUGUAAAGUGAAUUCGAUUCUGAAGCAAAAUUAACAUGGCAACGUGGAGAGAGAAUUGGACUUGAGGAGAAGAAGACCAAGAUUCAGGUCCUGCAUCUAACAUAUAUUAAAUACUCUAUGACUAUAAGCAAGUAACAACUUUAUGUUCAAGGCAAGUUUUCCAAAGCCGUUAUAGAGAGCGGUCACAAAGUUCAGACAUGAUUGAAAAAGACUGAAAAUCUCUGUUAGAUUAGGGGAGGACAGGUUUGCUUUUUGCACUAUGCCUUUCACACACACUGAUGAAAUUUCAGAUCUAAAGCCCAUAAAAAGGAGAGCACAUGAGUAUGUUAUAAUCAGUUUAUUUAGAAACAUAGUAUAUUGCAUAUUAUUAUUUCAUCUAUAUUAUUAAAAGUAUUGGACUUAUGUAGACUUAUCCUCUGCUAAAACAAUAUUUGGGUGAAAGUGGAAUGGUUAAAAUUAAAAUAAAUAUUAUACUGCUGA